UACUUGAUAAUGCAAUAAAAGUUUUGCUGAACUUGUCUUCGUUGGAGCUUAAAUCAUCCACGCAGGUACAUAAAUAUGAGUAUUGAAUCAAAAGGUUUAGAAAAUUAAGAAAAAGAUAUGGCAAAGAAUUUAGGAUUUGUGUUCUUGGUUCUUGUGGUUCUUUUGGUGCCAUGCUCCAUCAACUAUGGUCUUGUUUCUGCACAACCACAAGAGUUACUCCCACAAAUCGGUUAGAGCUGGUUCUAAUUAUAUAUAUUUAUCUAAAUUUCUCAUUUCGCAUUUUUCUAUAGUUUAUACAUAUGUUAUUUAAUUAAAAAUAGUUUGAUCUUAGCUUGAAAUAUCCAAAACAUAAAUUCCAGAAAAAUGUUAAAAAUAAAACCCAGGGUGCUGAAUCUAACUUUUGGCUCAGUUUUGGUUUGAUUCUUGUUUUUUUUGGAUAUAUAUAUAUAUAUAUAUAUAUAUAAAAGAAAAUAAAACCAAUUUGAUUCUUUUUUCCUCUCUGUUUAGUCUUUAGAAUUUGGUUUGGUUUAUUUAAACCAGAUUAGACACCCUUUUAUUGACUAGAUAUAAUAAGUUUUAGGUUGUCAAGCUAAUUUCAAUUAAUACAUGAUUCUUAAUUUAUUUAAUUACGAUUUAAAAAUCAGAAUGGAGAAGAAUGAUGAUCACGGUACGAUCAUCAAGAAGCCAAAUAGGUAGGCAGAAAAGAGCGUCGCCUUCUCCAUCAUCACCACCUUCGUUGUUGUCGCAAGCACCGGGGCUUUGAGGAACACCAUUUCUUGAUGAAAAGUUGAAAACGAAUAGAAUUUACUUAAAUAUCGGUUUUUGGAAUCAUUGAUAAGCUAUGCAUACAAUUUACUUAAAUAUCUAUUUUGUUCAAUAUAUAUAUAUGAUGAAGUUGUUUAUUUGACAAAAAAAAAUAAUGAUUGUCAAGGUUGGUUGGGCAAUUUUUUUUUUUUUUUUUUUUUUGUGUGUGUAGUAUA
rnacentral:lncRNA from 1 species